UUCCAGAAUUGCAUCAAUGUCUUUUCAGCAUCCUUCUCCAUUGCAGUAAUAACCUGGGCAAGGGUCCUCCUUGAGCCACAGGCCUUUCUAACCAUAACUCCUUGAUCUCAUGGUUAGAUCAAAGAGGUGUGGUUGCAAAAACAUCCUCUGGUGAUUUACAAGUGACUAACAUCUGUCUUGAACUUCUGCCAGAUGAGAGGAUGCGGGCAUAUAAACAUCACCUCACAGACAGAGUGAACAGUCUCUGAGGACUCUGCUCAGGUAAGGGACCGGCCUCACUCCGCGAGCGAGCGACCAGGGUGCAGCAAGGGACACAGAGGGGGCGCCUGAGACUGACGAGCACACAGUCAGUAUCUUAAACACAGAGCCUCACUGGGGCGGGGCGCAAGGAGCCCGG